rnacentral:lncRNA from 1 species
GCAUUCAAGAUUGUUGGUUUUGUAGGUACAUUUGCUCAUUCGUGUAUCUAUGUGAUUUGAAUACAAAAUGUGAAUUACAUUUCUAUACAUUAUCGAACUACAUUUCUAUGCAUUAUUAGGACACAUUAAUGGACCUGAUUAGAAUAAAAAUUUGUAUCGUUCACUAUCCAGGCCAAGGAGGCCAUCGCCCCCGCUUCGUCGAUGGGCAUGUGUAUGGGCACGCAUUCCAUGGGGCGAGCAGAUCUGGCCCUAGCGAUGUCAUCUUUGGUCCAGCAGCACGCUCCGUGCAGUGAGCAGUUUCGUGCACAAGGAGAGGGCUGCUUGCUUGUUUCCAGGUAAAUUCCUUGUAAAUCGUAAUUUUAAACCAAUUUCCAUUCCUUCUCUAUUCUGACCAUUCCACUCUAGGACAAUCAAUUAAUCAUUGUUUGAACUGAAGCAGCAAGAACAAGAGGAAGAAGUGAGACACACUGAAUACAUAGAAAUUGAAAUCUUAUUUUAGGAUGCAUAGAAAUUAAAAUCUUAAUUUUUUUAUGCAUAGAAACAUACUUCUUUUUUAUCUAAGCUUGAGGCUUUUUUUCUAUGCUUAACCUUGAUAUAGUUUUUUCUAAAAUUGAAAUAUUAAUUUUUGGGUGCAUAGAAAUUAAAAUCUUAAUUUCUUGGAUGCAUGGAAACAUUUCGGAUACUAGUUCUAGAAAGUUAUAUGUUUGUGCUACUGUGUUUUAUGCUUGCUUGGUUGCAAUUCGAAUGGCUACAAGAGCAACACAAAUUCAUUGAAAAAGUUAUAAUUUUUUCUAGAUCCUGCAUUCCAUCAUGAGCAGAAGGUGGCCGGAGAAAAUUUUUAUGCAUACAUAUAAAAUUUCUGUUUCCCAGCUUGCAUACAAAAAUUUGUAUGCAUACGUAACCUGCCUCAAAUGCAGGCUCUCUGUGACACGGUGAGCAGUAGGCUAGGCCUGAUCCAACAGAGGCAUGGCUUGUGUUCUUGAAUUUUUCUUGUUUUCAAUGGAAGCUAGUUCAUGCUCAUGUUGAUUUUCCAUACAAUUGAAUGACAAGCAAGAAAAUUUUCUAUGCAAAUUAAUUUAAAUUUUUAUGCUUCUUUUCUCAUAUAUGAUGUGUAAUAAAAUUGUUGCUUUAAAAAUACUGAUCAUUGGUUAUUCAUGCAUCUUUUUAUACAUUGUUGAAAAAA